UUUUUAGUUUAAAAAACACCUACUUUGGAUGUAGGAAAAAUCUAAUUUUAUUAAAAAC
rnacentral:tRNA from 1 species